UAUUUGCUCAUGCAAAUUAAAGUGUUAGAGUAAAAAUCCACAUGAAACUUGGCACUAACAAUUAAAAAAAGUCUUGAAAGAUUUCUCGCCUCACUGCAAUACCUUGCUAUGUUUAAACUGCUCAGCUUGUCAUUUAGAAUCUUUAAUGAAACCAGGGAGGAGGCUAUUUAUUUGCAUAAUAGGACAUAAUUUGCUGUGGUGAGGUUUUAAUUAUUUAUAGGCUGUCUGAAAUAUUUAAAAUGGCAUCACUAAGGAGCAUGAAGUGUUGGAUAAUGCCUUCAUUUCAGAUUUCCUGCCGUUUCUUUUAUGGGUCAAGCGAUUUAUUUCUAAUUAGCAUACCAGGCUAGUGGCUUUAAAAACAUAAGGAAAACAAAUUGGUUUCAGUCUGUUUGCAGCUUGAGUAGUUGGAGACGGCCAAGGGUCACUGACAGAGACUGAGUGGAGUUAAGAGAUGGAGCCAGAAGUCAAUCCAGCACAUGGAAAUCACUGACUCAACCAAGCCAUCCAUUCAUCUGUGCCCAGUUUACUGUUCUUCCUAUAUACGAGGAAGGAGGAAAAACACAAUCCUUGGCUCUACAAUCAAGAAGAUGAGCACCCAAAUUCUGUGGACUGUGAGUCAUUGUUGCCACACAGUGUGUGUAUACAAUCCAGCUAAUUCAUUGGAGGAAGCUUUCUAAUUGUACUUUCUUGUCAAAAGUUAUAUAGUUCGAAAGUAAAAGCAAGAGUAAUUGCUGUUUUCCCAGGAAAGAAAUCACCCGUUAAUGAAAUGUAUGACCCAUCCCAAUGACUUACCCAUUUGGAAUGUUUGCUGAUUUCCUACUGUACGCUGUGUACCCCGUGUGGACAAGCUGCAUGAUGCACAAAGGGGAAACAACACACACUCUCUCUCCUUGCAGAGCUUAGAAUCUAGGAAGGGAGAGAAGUUAAAAAAAAAGAAAGAAAUAUAUAAUGAAAACUGGUAAAGACAGAGUUGUGACAAACCAUGAUUAAAAAGGAUGAGAGAGAGUGAGAGAAGAGCUAUGCUUUAAUAAUAGAUAGAACGAAGACCUCCAUGGGGUGUGAUGUGUAGGCUGAAACCUGAAAGGUGAAAUGCCCCUGGCAAAGAAGAGUGUCAAGAAGAUUUCAGGUGAAGGAAAUAGCAUGGAAGUCCAAAGGCCGAAGGUCAAAGAGACCUUGGACUCUGUGAAGUACCAGGGUUUAUGUCUUCACAUAUUUGUAGAAUAAGCCAAGAAAUUAUUACUCUAGAGGUGCUGAUUUUUAGCAAAAAUGAAAAAAAGAAAAAAGUAGUCUAAAAGUUUAAGAACUACCAGCCCCCUCAGUGUUCAACACACAUCAUCACAGGUUGAUCUGUCAGGGUCCUGAAAUGAAGCGUUGUACAAUUCCAUUAUGAUUAUUAUCAUUAUUCCAUAAUGACCAAGGUUUAUGGAUGAGAAUAACUAAUUUUAUUUGCUCUUGUUAUAUAAAUAUGUAAAAUCAUUUUACAUUAUGAGUAAUGAUAAAUGGCACCCUAAGUAUAUAAUUUUAACCAAAAUAAAUAAAACCAAGUAGCUAUACUUAGAACGAUG
rnacentral:lncRNA from 1 species